rnacentral:rRNA from 1 species
UACGUAGGUCCCGAGCGUUGUCAGGAUUUAUUGGGCGUAAAGCGAGCGCAGGUGGUUUAAUAAGUCUGAUGUAAAAGGCAGUGGCUCAACCAUUGUGUGCAUUGGAAACUGUUAGACUUGAGUGCAGGAGAGGAAAGCGGAAUUCUCGGUGUAGCGGUGAAAUGCGUGGAUAUCGAGAGGAACACCAGUGGCGAAGGCGGCUUUCUGGCCUGCAACUGACGCUGAGGUGCGAGAGCGUGGGGAGCAAACAGG